ACAUUUUUCCCAAAAGCAAAUCCUAAUUCCCAAAUUGAAAACCCUAACCCUAACCUCCUUAUCCCCACCGCCAUGCCUCCACAGCUGCCAUUCACCCAUCCCUUUUACCCUUUCUCCUUCAAUACACACAAACACACCCACACCCUCCUAUGUUUCCUUUAGCAGCCGCCAUCCCAUUUCUCGUUCCCCCUCCCCCUCUUCACUGAGUGCACAUACAUCACCAUCGAGAGAGAGAUUCGGAGAAGAAGCAGCGCUGGCGAGGAACCCGCGCUACCAUCGCACCGCCCCACGCCCUGGAGCUCGCCAUCGAACCACGUGUUGCUGUUAUGGGCUCGCCGCCGCCGAAGUUCCGUCGCCAACCAUGGAGCCGCGGGGUACAUCUCCAUAGAGAGAGAGAGAGAGAGAGAGAGAGAGAGAGAGAGAGAGAGCGAGCAUCACGCUGAGAGAGAACCAAUCGGAGAAAGGGAGAGGGGUCGUGUCUACUGCGAGUCUGCUGUUGCCAUCGUCACCCUCACCGCGACCUGUCACCAUCGCUGGAGCCAGCCACCUUCAUCGCCGUUCAUGCCGUCACUGUUUCUCGCCAUUGCCGAGCCAUCGUCGGGCUGUGCACCGCCACGUAGGGCCGUUUCCAGUUGGCGCCGUGGCUGGUGGUUGCCUCGGCUUUCGGUGUAAGCACCCCGUCGGAGCUCAGUCACCAUUCUACUCUCCGGAAGUUGUCACCGGAGCUGCGGCUGCUCCGCUCUUGGUUUCUUGUUAUGCAGGUUGAGCUACGGUCCUUGCGUGCUGUGUUUAGAGGAUGUGGCUGUUGCGAGGAUGGUCGGAUUUGACGCUGUCGAUAUGAAUAAAAGUUUUAAGGGUUUUCUCGCGUAGUUAGUUGCGAAUGAGAUCUUUCCUUUUCAGGUCAUGGGCGACGAAGUUUGGAAGAGCUUAUUUACUUAUCUUUUGUUUUUAAACGAUGUUUGUGUUGUAUUAGUUACUUUUUUUCUUGCCUUUUAUCUUUACGAGUUUUUAUAAGAGGGAUAGGUAUUUGAUUAUAUAAUUCUUGUAAAAUUAAUAAUAUGUAUAUAUAUGUAUCCUUUGUAAGUAUUGAUAUUUGUAUGGAUGUAAGUUAUCUAUUUAAAAGUCUUUUGAGCAAUAAUUCAAUUUAAUUUUUUAUAUAGACUCAUUAUAGUAUUAAAUAUUUUUAAGAGUCGUCGUAAUACCCGAGCAAUCAGAGUGGCGCAUCCGAAAGCGUGACAUUUUGAUAGUUAGGGUGUUACAUGUUGUGAAAUUUUAUAUUACCUUUAAAAUUUUAACGUAAUUGA